rnacentral:rRNA from 1 species
AACGAACGCUGGCGGCAUGCCUAACACAUGCAAGUCGAACGAGGUACCUGGCUUCGGCCGGACUACCUAGUGGCGGACGGGUGAGUAACGCGUAGGAACCUGCCCAGAAGUGGGGAAUAACAGCUGGAAACGGCUGCUAAUACCGCAUAUUUCCUGAGGGAGAAAGGCUUCGGCCGCUUUUGGAGGGUCCUGCGUUCGAUUAGCUAGUUGGCGAGGUAAAGGCUCACCAAGGCGACGAUCGAUAGCUGGUCUGAGAGGAUGAUCAGCCACACUGGGACUGAGACACGGCCCAGACUCCUACGGGAGGCAGCAGUGGGGAAUAUUGGACAAUGGGGGAAACCCUGAUCCAGCAAUGCCGCGUGCGUGAAGAAGGCCUUAGGGUUGUAAAGCGCUUUCACCUGCGAUGAUGAUGACAGUAGCAGGAGAAGAAGCCCCGGCUAACUCCG